rnacentral:misc_RNA from 1 species
GUGAAUCAUCAAAUUUUUGAACGCAAAUUGCACUCUCUUCGGAGAGUAUGCCUGUUUGAGGGUCAGUAUUAAUAAAAAAUCGGUUUGGUUGCAAAUUGUGACGUUUCCGGAGUUUGGGCUAUCUUAACUUUUUUGGUUAAGGGGCUUAAAAUUGACCUUAUUUGCGCAUUUUUAGACGUACAUAAAUUUUUUUUUUUUCCGUCUUUUUUUAUUGCAAAAAUCUUAUUAGAUGCGUUAAA